rnacentral:rRNA from 1 species
UACGUAGGGCGCAAGCGUUGUCCGGAAUUAUUGGGCGUAAAGAGCUCGUAGGCGGCUUGUCACGUCGGGUGUGAAAGCCCGGGGCUUAACCCCGGGUCUGCAUUCGAUACGGGCUAGCUAGAGUGUGGUAGGGGAGACUGGAAUUCCUGGUGUAGCGGUGAAAUGCGCAGAUAUCAGGAGGAACACCGGUGGCGAAGGCGGGUCUCUGGGCCGAAACUGACGCUGAGGAGCGAAAGCGUGGGGAGCAAACAGG